rnacentral:lncRNA from 1 species
AAUAAGUAAAGAAUCUCUAUUAAACUAGAAACAAUACUGUAGUGCACAAUUACAAAUUCACAACUACAAAAUAAUGAUCACAAUAACAUUAAAAUUACAAAUCAGUCACACUGGACAUUUAGAUAAACAUAAUAUGUAAUCGUGUUCGCAGUAGUAUCAUUGUUCCUAUCCAAGUGGAGUAACCCAUCUAAACCAAACCCAACUGUCUUCUGUUCUAUCUCAGUUACCUGCAAAAGAAUAGCUAAAAAAAUGUGAGAACUAUCCACAUGAGGAAUAAAUUAUGGGAAAGAUUCAUACAAACCCUUAUUUAAAAUGACACUAAUUAGCUCACCCGCAAUAAAUGAAAAGUACAAGGAACAAUAUACGGCAACAUUGCAUUUGUCAGUCAACAUGGACAUUUUAUCGUCAGGCAGAAAAGGAUUUGGCAUGCAGAAAGAACACAUAGGCACAUCUUAGUAUCACAAAGAAAUAAAUCAAAUAUAAAUACUAAUAGUGAGAUGGUUGGUGGAAUAUCUAUCCUGGAAAAUUCUAGCAUCAUUCAGUUACUAUAUGUGGCUAGAACAAAUCUUUACUAAGAUCAUUGAAAUAAAUGUCCUAUUAAAAUAAAGAAAAAUGAAAUAUUAUUAAACAUGUAUACUUCGGAAAGAGAAAUAUAUACUUUGGUGCUCUAAGUUUAUUAGUUCUAUGGUAAUUGUUGAAUUACAGAACAAGGGCAGAAAUGUACACGGAUGAGUGCAAGAUUUAGGAUCUGUUUGGUUUGUGCCGGAGUCAGCCUCGCCAAAGGAGGACACGCCAAAUAAUUGGCGAGCGAUUUGGCCGCCGGCGCCUCGCCAAAUAGUUGGUGCAAAUAUAGACUAGAAGAGCUAUGGUGGGCAGGGCGAGCCAAAACAUCAGCGCUCAUCCAAACGAACUCGCCAGCCUGGUCAACUACCAAUAUUUUGGUCAACUACCAAUAUUUUGGACAGGCGGCUGCGAGCAGCGAUCCAAACAGCCCUUUAAAGCUUUCACAUGCUUAGCUCCAUUCACAUGGAUAAUAGAAAAGGUUUGUAGAGAAAUGCACUUCUAAAGGGCAGGCAAAAAAAUUUGAUAAUAUUGCAAAAUACAUGAAGAUAAGUUAAACCUCAGGACAUGCAAGAAUGUUAAUGCAUUGUAAACCUCAGGAGAUGCUAGGGUGUUAACCUCAACCCACAAUUGUAGUGGAUGAUUGUAGGAGUUUCAUCUGUUCAAUACUGAUUUGAAAGCUGAGAUCAAGUUACACAGAACAAAACUCUACGAAAAUAAGGCAAGAAAAGGAAAGAAAAUUGAGACUUAAUUAAGUACACUCAUAUUAAACUAAAUAAACAUACACUGCUAUAACCAAUUAUCAGUUACAUAAGUAGACGGUUGGCAUUAAAUAUGUAACAGAUAUUAUUCGUUGCAAUAUAUUAUAGUAAUUAAACAGUUGAUGUGCAUACUUGUGAAAGAGACAUGUGAAAACAUUCAGAUUUGUUGUAGUGCUCAAACCAUAAGGUCCAGUAUAGCAUUUAUCCAUUCAAUUCACAUUACCCAGUGGUGACAGCAUGAUCAAGUCUCACAACCCUAUGUGUACUUUAAUUUAGGCAGGAAAUCACACAGUGGCGAAGCCACGCUAUAGCUGGGUAGUCAAGCGACUACACAACAAUUUGACAUGCCAGAGACUACCACGCCUGCCUCCCCCAUCGGUAAAAAACAAGUUCUAUAAACUGACUACAACAGACCCAUUUGUUAUUUGCUUUGCCUAUGAUUUGGCUGGCCCAAUAUAGCAAAGGAAAUUACGCAGCCGUCCUAAUUAUAUAGCUUCCCUAAUCAGCCAAUCCUCAAAUCCUGUGAUUACUCUUACUACUACUACUUCUCUCCUUUUCACCUUCCCAUGUAAUCCCUAAAGGCCAACGGGGGCACAAUACCGGCAGGUUGGAGCACAUCAUGCAUGGAUGCGCAUGUUGCACACCAAGCAGCGUUGAUGCUGCCGGCCGCCAACCGCCCGCUGUCCGGAAACACCUCCGUGAGCAUGGCCACGUCCUCAGCCAGUCUCCGACUCUCUACAGUACUGUACUUCUGGUGAUCGGCGAGUGCACAAGGAGUCUAGCACAAGGUCCUUUUUCUUCUAUUUGUACGCUACAUCUUCUUCCUCUUCCAAUUUUUUCUCUUAUUAAGAAAUCAAGAUCUUGUUUUUCAUAGUAAAACGCUUGUUUUUGACUUGUUAGGUCUUGUAUUUGGUAAUGACACCAAUGAUAAAUGGAUAAAUUUGGCAAAAAGCUGCAACCAAAAAUAUGUGUGGUCUUUUCUGUUCCUGUUUAUUUUGUCUAUAAUUUUUUCAUUUAAAAAACUUGACAAAGCAAUGUUCGGAUCCUGCCACCGCCACUGAAAUCACAUACGUCAGAGCAGACAUACAUUGCCAACAAGAACAACCAUCCAAAAAAGAAGAGCAGGAGCAGAGCUGGUUACCUAUGGUGGCUGGUGUUUGGUGGAGUUCGAGGUAGAUGCACGGCCGCCGUUCCUGCUGUGCUGCUCUAUGUUGGCUGCUUGCCACCGACAGCCAAAGGGACGCGUGCGUCCGUACAUCAGAGAGAGGGACGCGAGCAACCUUUCCUCUACAGGGAUCCACGACCACAGCAUUAGUCGGAGCCGGCAAAAGAACCUAGACGGGGGUCGCGGAGGAGUACGAGGCCACGACGUCGAGGAAGCCAGCAGGACAGGUGGGAGCCGCGCUGGUAACCAGUGGCGACUAGGGUUUGCUGCUGCUUCCAGCCGUCGCAGUAGAUCGUCGACCACCGCACGGCCGCUCCGGUUCGACAAGGCCGACGUCGGGGUUCUGUUCCGUGCCAAAUCUGCGCGCGCCCAGGAUGUCGUUGCCACUACACCUAGUACGAGGGAUGGGGGAUGUGUGCCAUUGGAGUGGAGGAAGCUUAGGAGAUUCCGGGGAAGAGAGAAGGUGCAUGUGGGGAGGUGGAGGAAGGAGGCAUCGUAGGGACGGUGAGGGUGCGGAGGAGGGAUAGUGGAGGGGAUCGAGGAUGAGGGAUAAGAUGAGGGGGCGGCGGCGGGGAGGAGAAAGAGAUUGGGGAAGGGAGUGUUAGCCUGUUAGGGUUAGGUUUUAUACAGG